rnacentral:rRNA from 1 species
GAUGAACGCUGGCGGCGUGCCUAAUACAUGCAAGUCGAGCGAACAGACGAGGAGCUUGCUCCUCUGACGUUAGCGGCGGACGGGUGAGUAACACGUGGAUAACCUACCUAUAAGACUGGGAUAACUUCGGGAAACCGGAGCUAAUACCGGAUAAUAUAUUGAACCGCAUGGUUCAAUAGUGAAAGACGGUUUUGCUGUCACUUAUAGAUGGAUCCGCGCCGCAUUAGCUAGUUGGUAAGGUAACGGCUUACCAAGGCAACGAUGCGUAGCCGACCUGAGAGCGUGGACGGCCACACUGGAACAGAGACUCGGUCCAGACUCCUGGGGGAGGCAACAGUAGGGAAUCUUCCGCGAUGGACGAGAGCCUGACGGAGCAACGCCGCGUGAGUGAUGAAGGUCUUCGGAUCGUAAAACUCUGUUAUUAGGGAAGAACAAAUGUGUAAGUAACUAUGCACGUCUUGACGGUACCUAAUCAGAAAGCCACGGCUAACUACGUG